rnacentral:rRNA from 2 species
UUGACCUCAAAUCAGGUAGGACUACCCGCUGAACUUAGC